rnacentral:misc_RNA from 1 species
AAAAAAAAAAAAAAAAAAGGUGUCGUGUCAUUUGCUUCAAUGAGCUCAAUGAAGCUUAGCAGGAAACCCCAUGAAUGAGUCCAGUUAACUAACUAUAAGGCAUUCCAACAGAACUCUAGUUAUUACUUAAUAGUAAUCUGCUCUGGAUGGUUUCCUAUAUAUGCAUUACAGGAACGGUAACUCACAGAAAGCUACCAACUCCCACCAAAUAUGA